rnacentral:rRNA from 1 species
GAUCCUGGCUCAGGAUGAACGCUGGCGGCGUGCUUAACACAUGCAAGUCGAGCGAAGCACUUAGGAAAGAUUCUUCGGAUGAUUUUCUAUUUGACUGAGCGGCGGACGGGUGAGUAACGCGUGGGUAACCUGCCUCAUACAGGGGGAUAACAGUUAGAAAUGACUGCUAAUACCGCAUAAGACCACAGCACCGCAUGGUGCAGGGGUAAAAACUCCGGUGGUAUGAGAUGGACCCGCGUCCG